rnacentral:rRNA from 1 species
CUCAGUAAGGGCGACUGAAGCGGGAAGAGCUCAUUCUGUGAAUCUGCCCUGUGGUGCCGAGUUGUGGAAUGGAGAAGCACGUCAGCUGCAGCCCGGUCCAAGUCUUCUGGAAAGGAGCGCUUGAAAGGGUGACAGCCCCGUAUCUGGCUGGGUGUCUGUGGCAUUAGCAUGUGCCUUCGACGAGUCGAGUUGCUUGGGAUUGCAGCUCUAAGUGGGUGGUAAAUUCCAUCUAAAGCUAAAUAUCGGUGGGAGACCGAUAGCGUACAAGUACCGUGAGGGAAAGAUGCAAAGAACUUUGAAAAGAGAGUUAAAGAGUACCUGAAAUCGCUGAAAUGGAAGCGAAGGAAACCAGUGGCAUCUCCAACAUUUUCUCUCGUUGCUUGCGGCGAGGGCGCUGUGUUGGAGAGUCGGCCAGCAUGGGUUUGGACCGGCGGAAGACAUCCCCCAGGAGGCAGCUAGAUUCCUAGCAAUCACUGAGGGAUGGUGCGCUGGUCGAGACCGAGGCUAGUCACGUUUGUGCUCGUGAUGCUGGCGAAAUGGUUUUCUUUACCCCGUCUUGAAACACGGACCAAGGAGUCUAACAUAUGUGCGAGUAUAUGGGUGGCAAACCCACAUGCGAAAUGAAAGUAACAGUGGUAGGACCUUUUGGUGCACUAUCCGCCGGCCAAUAUCCCUCGGGAGAACGGUCUGAGUGUGAGCAUACAUGUGGGACCCGAAAGAUGUGAACUAUGCCUGAAUAGGGUGAAGCCGCGGGAAACCGCGGUGGAGGCUCGUAGCGUUCUGACGUGCAAAUCGAUCGUCAAAUUUGGGUAUA